CACCUUCCUUCGGAAUAGUCAAGGGAAUAAUACUUAAGCCGCAAUUUACGGCUGUUUCAGCGUUUUGUGCCAGGAAUUUGUAUAGUUGUAUUAUGGAUACAGAAAAGGAAGCAUCGCCUAUAGUUUUUGUGGAAGAAAUAUCCAGCCCAGCGCAAGGAAGUCAUCAAUUAAACAGACGGGCUCUGCAUCAUUGUUGUAAUAGUUACCUCUACGCUAGUUUUUUGGCACAGUUUCGUUUUCAAAUUCAAAAGCGCUGCAAACAUAUUUUCAUUAAUAGAAAUUCUCACACAAAUUUUUGUUGUUACAACACGGCGGCAACAGGGCAAUUUACAUAGAUUGGUGUGCACAUGUGUACAUACAUGCGCUUAUGCAUGUGUGUGUAACGGAACAGAAACACACACAAAUUGAGGAAAACGGCAACAUAUGAAUGUAUUGUAUUCAUAUGCACAUGUGUACAUUCAGAACAGAACAAGUGCGAGCGAGCAAGAAUAUCCAUAACUGAAAAACAGCAAAAACAAUGACAACAAUUCUCAUCAAGUGCGCUGCGCAUACAACAUAAAAUCACCCACUCGACGCGCCAACAGUGGAGAACAGAAGAGCGCAAAGAACAGGCCCCAAAAGCUAGCAAAAGCGAAACAAACUGGAGAGCUGAAACGGGGGCGCCAACUGCCAGACUGUCUGACAACUGGUAGCUAUGACACUAUUAAAGCUGACUGCUACGACAUGACACUAUUAGAUAGACUGGCAUCACCUUUUAUUUAUCACCCUGUUUUUAGGGCUCUAAAAUCUCUCAAAUUGAAACGAUGUACAUACAUAUGUAUCAAUGGUUGUGCAGCUCUAAUACAGUAUAUUAAAUUACUUUUCAAAAUGACCGCAAACUUCAUUCGUGCACAAAAAUAGCGAAAUUCUUCGGGAUAUAAAAGUAUAUUUCAUCUAGAGAUGAACAACUCAUACAUAUCAGGAAUCGUUUUUAUCGUUUUCGAUUAUUUUUCCAAAUCCUUCAACUCUUGAGUUGACCAUCUCAAUUAAGACC